rnacentral:rRNA from 1 species
UGGAAGUAAAAGUCGUAACAAGGUCUCCGUUGGUGAACCAGCGGAGGGAUCAUUACCGAGUUUACAACUCCCAAACCCAAUGUGAACGUUACCAAACUGUUGCCUCGGCGGGGUCACGCCCCGGGUGCGUCGCAGCCCCGGAACCAGGCGCCCGCCGGAGGAACCAACCAAACUCUUUACUGUAGUCCCCUCGCGGACGUUUUUACUUACAGCUCUGAGCAAAAAUUCAAAAUGAAUCAAAACUUUCAACAACGGAUCUCUUGGUUCUGGCAUCGAUGAAGAACGCAGCGAAAUGCGAUAAGUAAUGUGAAUUGCAGAAUUCAGUGAAUCAUCGAAUCUUUGAACGCACAUUGCGCCCGCCAGUAUUCUGGCGGGCAUGCCUGUCCGAGCGUCAUUUCAACCCUCGAACCCCUCCGGGGGGUCGGCGUUGGGGAUGCGGGAACCCCUAAGACGGGAUCCCGGCCCCGAAAUACAGUGGCGGUCUCGCCGCAGCCUCUCCUGCGCAGUAGUUUGCACAACUCGCACCGGGAGCGCGGCGCGUCCACGUCCGUAAAACACCCAACUUUCUGAAAUGUUGACCUCGGAUCAGGUAGGAAUACCCGCUGAACUUAAGCAUAUCAAUAAGCGGAGGA